UACGAAGGGUGCUAGCGUUGUUCGGAAUCACUGGGCGUAAAGCGCGCGUAGGCGGCGAUACAAGUCAGAGGUGAAAUCCCAGAGCUUAACUCUGGAACUACCUUUGAAACCGUUUGGCUAGAGUCCGGAAGAGGAGAGUGGAAUUCCCGGUGUAGCGGUGAAAUGCGCAGAUAUCGGGAAGAACACCCGUGGCGAAGGCGGCUCUCUGGGACGGUACUGACGCUGAGACGCGAAAGCGUGGGGAGCGGACAGG
rnacentral:rRNA from 1 species